GACGAACGCUGGCGGCGUGCCUAAUACAUGCCAGUAGAACGCUGAAGAGAGGAGCUUGCUCUUCUUGGAUGAGUUGCGAACGGGUGAGUAACGCGUAGGUAACCUGCCUUGUAGCGGGGGAUAACUAUUGGAAACGAUAGCUAAUACCGCAUAACAAUGGAUGACACAUGUCAUUUAUUUGAAAGGGGCAAUUGCUCCACUACAAGAUGGACCUGCGUUGUAUUAGCUAGUAGGUGAGGUAAUGGCUCACCUAGGCGACGAUACAUAGCCGACCUGAGAGGGUGAUCGGCCACACUGGGACUGAGACACGGCCCAGACUCCUACGGGAGGCAGCAGUAGGGAAUCUUCGGCAAUGGGGGCAACCCUGACCGAGCAACGCCGCGUGAGUGAAGAAGGGUUUCGGACCGUAAAGCUCUGUUGUAAGUCAAGAACGGGUGUGAGAGUGGAAAGUUCACACUGUGACGGUAGCUUACCAGAAAGGGACGGCUAACUACGUG
rnacentral:rRNA from 1 species